UUGCAGAUAACCCUGGAUACUGAGAGCCUGUCUACAUCCUCACCUUGGGGAGAGAAAAGCCAUGGGGAGUGGAAUGAGCAAGGUGGUCGCAGGGCUCUACCUGGGGAACAUCCGUGACUCAGAGGACAGGGACAGCCUGCGGAGGCAUGGCGUGACACACAUCCUUUCCGUGCACAACGGGGCCAAGCCGGUGCUGGAG